UUUUUUAAUUGGGGUAGCCCCCAAAAUAUUGGGGCAUAUAAAAAAAAAGACAACUCUGUUCUGCAGAGUAGCUGUUGACAUUAUAGUUGGGACCCUGAGAAAGGGCUACCACAUGCAAGGAAGGCAGCAGGCACGCAAAUGACCCACUCCCGAGGCGGGAAGGUAGUGACGACAAAUAACAAUACAGGACUCUUUAGAGGCCCUGUAAUUGUAAUGAGUCCACUUGAAAUCCUUUAACUCUGAUCAAUCGGAGGGAAGUCUGGUGCAGAGCCACUGACUUGUGCGUGCUGCAGCUAAAACUCCACUA